UAAUGUAUGGGGAUCUGCCCGAUAGAGGGGGAUAACUACUGGAAACGGUGGCUAAUACCGCAUAAUGUCUACGGACCAAAGCAGGGGCUCUUCGGACCUUGCACUAUCGGAUGAACCCAUAUGGGAUUAGCUAGUAGGUGGGGUAAAGGCUCACCUAGGCGGCGAUCUCUAGCUGGUCUGAGAGGAUGAUCAGCCACACUGGGACUGAGACACGGCCCAG
rnacentral:rRNA from 1 species